UGAAUCUUUUCCAUCUAUUACUUUCCAUCACAUUCCUCCUAUUUCAUUCCCAGUUACACUCCCACCUCAUAUAGUCCCACUUGAAGUUUGUGGUCGUAGUAACCACCAUGUUAACCAUGUUCUUCAAUCCAUUUCAAAAACCUCAAACCUUAAAGGUGUUAUUUUGGAUUUCAUGAACUAUAGCACAAACCAAAUCACUUCAACUCUUGAUAUACCAACUUACUUUUUCUACACUUCAGGAGCUUCAACUCUUGCUGUUUUUCUUCAACUUCCAACCAUUCAUCAAAGUACCACGAAAUCGCUUAAAGAGUUUCACAUGUAUCCUAGAAUCCCUGG
rnacentral:lncRNA from 1 species